UGUGAUCUAAUCUGAUCUGAACUUAUUUUUUCUGAAAUAAGUAAAAAUAAGAUGAACUAAACAAGGCCUUAAUCGCACCGCUUCGGUUCGAAUCGGUGGGAAAGUUGUUCGAACCGGUGGGAAAGCUAUUGUAAAAAAAAUAAAUAAAAUGGGCCUUAUCUUUUUUCUUUCUCUUUCUGUCUUAUGUAUUUCUCUUUCCUCGAUCUCUCCUCCACUCUCAUCUGCCUCUCUCAGUCUCUAUCAUCUACAACAAUGGAGCCUCAAACUCCUUCUCUCUCCUUCGAUCUCCUUCUCCAUAUCCGCCGCUUUCUCUUUCCUUUUCUCUCUCAUUCUCCAUAACUGCGCCGCAAGCAACGCCGCUCUCCUUCUCCUUCUCAGUCUGAAAUCGGCCGCCGUCAAUUUGAACCAAAUACAACAACAACAACAACAACAACAAACUUGAAUCAAUUAUCGAUUCAAAGUUCACAAAUUCAAGAGUUGGUGUGUGAACCAUCAAAUAGUUGAAGCCAUGGUUCCGUUUGAAUACAAGCCGUAUUUGGAUUCCAAAACAUUGUAAGUGUAAAUUCGAUUUGUUUUGUUGAAUGGGAUAAUUAGUUGAAGGUUUAUGUUGUUGAAGGUGUAUAUGUGUGUGUGUUAAUUUAUUUAGGGUUGGUUGAUGGGUUGAUUGAUUGCAUUAAUUUGGUUUAUGUGUGUGGGAAUUCAGCUUAUUGUCUAUUUAGAAAUUGUUUGAGGUUGUUUUACUGGAAUCACAUUCAGAGGUUUAGUUCUUUGAAUUCCUUGCUUGGGAAAAAUCUUGUCUUUUUUCAAGUAUAAUAAUUUACACUGCAUUUUAAUUUUAUUUUUCAGAUUUUUUUGUAGAAAAUUUCAUGGCUUAGUGUUGAAAUAUGUUAUUUAAUUACUUUAUUAUGGGGUUGUGAUUUUGUUGAAUGAUGCUGAAAUCCAAUGUUUUACUUUUGUAAGUAAUUUUAAAUGGGGUUGUGUUUCUGUUGUGAUUCAUGUGGAAAUCUGUAAAAAAAAAAAUUAUUCCAAUCUAAGGUUGCCUGGAAUGUGGAUUCCUCUACAUGGGACAAUAUAUCACUAGUGUUUGCUUUUUCUCAAUAUAAGCUUAAUCAUGUAAUUUCCUAAUGGAAAUCCAGUGCAUCACUUCCUGAUUUGUUCAUAGUCGUAAAAGAGAAGAAAAAUGAAAGUCUUAUAUGAGAGGCUGGGAGUACUAUCUUUUUAUGCUUAUUAAAAAUAUUAAAAAGACAUUGUGGCAAAUGAGUUUUUACACUAAAAUCUAUGGCCUACUAUAUGCUGCUCAGUGGAGUUACACCCUAAGAUUCGAGUUUGUGAUUUAAUCUACUAGAUUUUGGACAAAAUAGAGAACUUUCUUGCUCAUUUUCCACUCAGUCAAAACAUAAUCUCUUUAGGAUGCAAAGUGGCUUUAUACGACCUUGCACACUUGGUUUACUCUGUCAGUAAGCUUAGAAGAUAGAAUUCAUUAUUUGCAACUUCUAAUGACAAGAGAUGACCUUUUAUUAAUGCUUAUCCUAAUUUCUGCUUGUUUUAUUGAGUUCUAAUUAAAUUUAUCCUUUCCUCCAGUUGAAGGUAUUUCAUUGUUUACGUCUAAAAGGCCAAAAUUGAUUUGAUGACAAAUUCCUCUAUUCCUUUUAUGCCGUGGAAAUAUGUUCAGUGGUAUAGAAAUAAGGGCUAGAUUAGUUUUAGGAAAAUAUUGUAAAUAACCACCCCUAAAAUUGAAUUUACCACCUAUUUUUUUGUUUAUUUUAAUUAAUCACCCCUUAAAGUGAAAAAAUUUAGAAAUCUAUAAGCAUUUAGAAGCGCACAUGGUCUAUGUAUAUGUACAACUGUACACUGUCAAGAAUGUCCACAAAAGCAACAUAUUAUACAAGAGUAGAUUCUUGCUGACUGAAUUCAAUUAAGAGUUGUUUUUUCAGCCUAUCCCUCUCCUAACUUUUCUAUGUCCUACUCUCCUUCUGUCUCCCUCUCAUAUCAGUACCACUGAUAAGAUUCCUUUCAGAACUCUGUUGCUUUUGACUGACUGGUCCUUUUCUAUGGGGAGCAAGAGACAAUCUCCACGGAAUCUCCCUGCCUGUUAUUUGCUUGAGCUCACUGCUUGUUUCCAUAGUUUCCAAAUCUUUCACCCCUAUACUCUCCUUUUCUUUGCGGGAUUAUUUUUAUUUAUCGAUAGUUUCUUUAUAGCAAAACAGUGGUAAAUCUUUCAGUUAUGGGUUGGCUUGAUGCAAUCAUUAGGAUGAAACUUGUCUCUUGUCUGUCUGUAUCCCAUAUCGUUUUGGUUAUUUCUUCUCCCUUGGGUAUGCUUACCUUAAUGGAGGGUUUACUAUAUAAGACACAAGUGGAAUAUCAAACCUGGAAAUUUGGUAAGCAUCUUACUUCUCAUAAGUAUUGGUACCUUUCUUUAAUGUGGAAUUGAACAUAAGAUUAUUAUCCAAACAAGUACUUGGUACAAAGUUGAGGUUGUGUUAGCAUAAUAAAUUAAUGUUUAGAUUCAUCAUAUUUGCAAAAUACUACUACUAUAUCGUGUCAACACUACUGCUUUCUUAUAUAAUACUCUUUUUUUUGCUUAGAAUUACUCAUAAGAAAAGUGACAAAAAAGACCAUAGUAACGCUGCCUAUGUUUUGUCUGCUUCACUAACUACCUCCGGUUGUAUUUUAUUUUGCUCAUAUGCAAAUUGUACAUUUACGAGUCCUUGUUUUUGUGGCAAGAAUUAUAUAUCUGACAUCAAGGUUAAAGGUAAUGUGUAGUUGCAUUCAUACUAAAAAGGUAAAGCUACUUCAUUACUCUGUGAAACAAACAAAAAUGGAUGUGUACAUUUGCUGAAUGGCUUCUAUCUAGUUUCUUUGGUUGAAUUUUUCAUCUAUCGAAUGCCAACAUUCAAUCUGUUUUCUUGAUGAUAUAGCCACCAACAUAACAUAUGUGCUGAACUUCUGUUUGUGCUAUCAAAUUAUAACUGUAGGUAAUGCUAAUGCAUGUAUUUGGCUUCUUUUUGGUGUUUGUUGUGCCGUCUAUGCUUGCUGCAAUGAACUUGAUGUGGUUUGGGAAGAUACUUAGAGGAUUGAAGAAGAAGUUAGCAAAGAGACAAUGACUCAGUAAUGGAAUUGCAUGGUAUUUUCUUAGAAUCUUUUUUCUUCGGUGUAAAAAAAGUGGGUUGGAAAUGUGAAGGCAAAGGGAUCUUUUUUCUUCGUGAAGAAAAUAUAUGUGUUUUAUGUAUAUUAUGAUUAUAUAUAAGUAUUUGAUACAAUUUAAGUGAAAAAAAUGCAAAAAAAAAAAAUCUGUUUUUUUUUUGGGGCAUUAUUGGCACCGGUUUUGAACAGAACCUGCGCUAAAAGUUUUUUUUAAUUUUUUUUGCCACUUUUUGUACCGGUUCAACGCAAGAACCGGUGCUAAAAGUGUGUUUUUUUGCACCGGUUCUCACCCAGAAUCGGUGCGAAAAGCAUGUUUUCCCACCGGUUUUGAACCGGUGUGAAAUGUCUGGGGUUUUAGCACCCCCCGGUUCAAAAUCGGUGCUAAAUGGGGGUUUUGAACCGGUGCGGAUUACGUGUUUUCGCUUAGUGUGAAGGCUUUUCUAGUCAAGUUCUUGGGACAGGAAAAGACUGCAAGGUUGAAAAAUGAGUUAUCUACUUUCAGGCAAUUAGAUGAUGAGUCCCUAUAUGACGCAUGGAGGAGAUUCAAGCGAUUGCAGAGACAAUGCCCUCACCAUGGUAUUCCUGAAUGGAUGUUGAUACAAACCUUCUAUAAUGGUUUAACUCAUGAGUUCCGAAUCUAUAUUGAUGCUGCACCCGGGGGUUCUCUCUUGACUAAGAACCCAACUGAGGCGAAGGAGCUAGUUGAGAAGAUGGCGACCAAUGAUAACUAACAUCUAGGAGGACGAAAUAGUGUGAAGAAGGGAGGUAAAUUAGAUGUUGAUGCUCUAACUCUUUUGACUAGCUCUGUGUAGGCAUUGUCAAGAAAGUUCAACAGACUCCAAGCUGGAUCAUCCGCUAGCUUACCUAAGACUUGUCAAAUGUGUAAUGUGCAAGGUCACAUCGUACCUAAUUGCCCACAAAAUUCAAAUGAGAUAUCAAUCGAGGAAGUCAAUGCAUUCUACACUUCUAAUCCCAAAAGGUCAUAUGACCCCCACUCUAACACAUAUAAUGAAGGUUGGAAGAAUCACCGAAAUUUUUCCUACAAGAAUACCCAAGCCCAACAAAAUCCACCUCCACCACCACCUUGAAACAACAAUUAUAAUGCACCACCUGGUUUCCAACCAAGGCCAUCUCUAGUCUAACAACCCAUGCAACAUGUGCAACCACCUCAAAAAUAUAACCUUGAGCUAAUGACGGAGAACUUUAUCACCACAAAAAAAAAUUCCAUCCAAUAGUUACAAGCUUAGAGCAAGCUCAUGGAAAAUUAGAUAAGUGAACUUUCUCAUCAAGUUGGCCAAUCUUUACUUUGAGGAAUGGAAAACAAUUGGAAAAUCCUCCCGUAUGGGAGCCAUCAUAGGAGGUUGUUGAAGGGGUAGGCGCAAAUGAAAAGGUGGUUGAAAGUACUAUGAUUGAGGAAGAGCCAAAGGAAACUACUCCACCACCUCUUGCUCUAUAUGUGCCAAAUGUUCCUUUUCCGCAGAGGUUAGCCCAAGCAAAGUUAGAGAAAAAGUAUGGAAAAUUUCUCGAUAUUCUGAAAAAGCUUCACAUCAACAUUCCAUUCUUAGAUGCAAUAUCCAAGAUGCCAUCUUAUGCAAAAUUCUUAAAGGAUAUUCUCUCUAACAAGAAGAAGCUAGAAGGGAAUGCUACAGUUGCAUUGACUGCAGUGUGUAGUGCAAUUUUGCAAAACACACUUCCUAAGAAAUUAAGCGAUCUAGGUAGCUAUUCAAUUCCGGUCCUUGGAGGCAUAGAGAUCAACAUGGAAUUAUGUGAUCUUGGUGCAAGUGUGAGUCUUAUGCCGCUCUCUAUUUGCAAGAAACUUGAAAUGAGUGAACUAAAGCCUACGCUCAUAUCACUACAACUUGCGGAUAGGUCGGUUAAGUUUCCUUUAGGUUAUUUAAAGAUGUUCCUCUUCGCGUGGGAAAAUUCUUUAUUCCAUGAGAUUUCGCUGUGAUGGAGAUAGAAGAGGAUUCACAUGUUCCUAUCAUUCUUGGUAGACCAUUCCUAGCCACUACAGCUGCAAUCAUUGAUAUGAAGAAUGGUAAAAUCACCUUUGAGGUAGGUGACGAGAAAAUGGAGUAUUCACUCUUGAAUGCUAUGGGAACUCCAUCGAUGGGAGAGACUAUUUGUCAAGUGGACGUCCUUGAUGAUUUACAAAGAGAGCAACUUCCCAUGAUCAAGAUGGAUGAUGCACUUGAAACGUUGUUAAUGGGGAGUGCCAAUGAUGAAGAUUGGGAAACAAGGGAAUACACAAGGCUACUAGAGGAAGCAAAAGCUAACCUAAUCAUCGCUCAAAUCAAAGAAGUCCGUAAUGCAUCGAGUGUUGGGGAGAGAACUACGCCUCCCGAGGUAUUACUGAAACCCCUUCCCUCUAAUCUUUAAUAUGCAUACCUUGGUCCUAAUAAUACAUACCCUGUUAUUGUUAAUGCUGAACUUAACAACACAAUUUUAGAGCAACUGCUCAUUAUUUUGAGAAAAUAUAAAAGUGUUAUUGGGUACACCAUUGAUGAUAUUAAAGGUAUUAAUCCUUCUUUUUGUACGCAUAAUCGUUCUUGAGGACGAUCAUGCCUCCUCAGUAGAAUCUCAAAGAAGGCUUAAUCCAAACAUGAUGGAGGUAGUUAAAAAAGAAGUUCUUAAAUUGCUUGCUGCAGGAAUAAUUUACCCUAUCUCAGAUACUAAGUGGGUUAGCCCUGUACAGGUAGUACUAAAAAAGGAGGUUUGACCGUUGUUAAGAAUGACAAGGGUAAGCCUAUCGCCACUAGGACUGUUACAGAGUGGCGAAUGUGUACUGAUUAUAAGAGGUUGAAUAAGGCCUCCCGGAAGGACCAUUUCCCCCUCCCCUUUAUUGAUCAGAUGCUUGAACGUUUGGCUAAGCAUUCCUUUUUCUGUUAUUUGGAUGGAUAUUCUGGUUUCUUUCAAAUUCCUAUUCGUCCUUGUGAUCAGGAAAAGACCACAUUCAUAUGUCCAUACGACACUUUUGCAUAUCGUAGAAUACCGUUUGGAUUAUGUAAUUCCCUAGCCACAUUUCAACGUUGUUUGAUGACAAUUUUUUCGGGCCUUAUAUAAAAUUCUAUAGAUGUGGUUAUAGAUGAUUUUUCUGUUUAUGGAACUUCUUUCGAUGUGCCUUGAUAAUUUGAAAAAGGUGCUCGAUAGAUGUCAGGAAGUCAAUCUAAUUCUGAAUUGGGAAAAAUGUCAUUUUAUGGUUCAAUAGGGAAGCGUUUUAGGCCAUGUCGUGUCAAACAAGGAUACUGAGGUCGAUAAGGCUAAAAUUGAGGUUAUUGAGCGCUUACCAUCUCCGAAUUCUGUUAAAGGAGUUCAAAGUUUUCUUGGUCAUGCUGGACUUUAUCGUCUCUUCAUUAAGGAUUUUUCAAAGAUUGCUCGACCUCUAACUGAGCUUCGAGCUAAAGAUGCCCUUUUGUUUUUACUGAUGCUUGUCUUGAGGAUUUUCCCGAUUUGGUAUCCCACGUAUGUUGAUUAGUGACAGGGGAACACAUUUUUAGGAGCAUCGGUUCGAACUGAUGUUGAAGAAAUAUGGAGUGCAACACAGGCUGGGCAUUGGCUAUCAUCCACAGACCAGUGGUCAAGUUGAAGUGUCCAACCGGGAAAUUAAAUUUAUCCUAGAGAAAACGGUUGCAAGGACAAGAAAGGAUUGGUCGGCCAAGAUUGAUGAUGCACUAUGGGCAUACCGAACAGCUUUCAAAACGCCAAUAGGUAUAACCUCAUAUAGACUUGUCUAUGGAAAGGCAUGCCACCUACCCGUUGAGCUAGAACACCGAGCAUUUUGGGCUAUUAAGAGCUUAAAUUUUGAUGCUAAAGCAGCGGGAGAAAAGAGGUUGUUACAGUUGAAUGAACUAGAUGAGCUAUGUCUUGAAGCUUAUGAGAUUUCAAAACUAUAUAAAAAAAGAACUAAGCGGUGGCAUGAUAAGGGCCUUGUGAGAAAAGAAUUCAAGGAAGGAGAUCAAGUUCUUCUAUUUAACUUACGGUUGAAAUUGUUUCCCGGAAAGCUUCGGUCUAGGUGGUUAGGUCCUUUCACUGUUUUUAAGGCCUACCCCUACGGUACUAUUGAACUAUGGAACAAGACCGGGUCCACUUUCAAGGUCAACGGCCAAAGGGUGAAGCAUUACCGUGUUGGGGAUCCUAUCGAAGAGAAAGUGGACAUCACACUCUCUUCCCCAUCACCAAUUCAAUGAGCAUCACUACGAUCGAGCUAACGACCUUAUAAACAAGCGCUUGCGGGAGGCAACCCGUUUUCUUAGUUUUUUUUUUUCCUAUUUUUCAUCUUCUCUUUUUAGUUUUGUGUUUGUGUUUGUUUUGUUUUUCAGAGAACACCGAGCAAUGUAAGAAGUGGGAUGUCAAGAAGGUCGUCAAAGGUUGAUAAAAUGAGGAAUUAACUCGUCGCCCUGGCAAACCGGGCAUGCCACGCUCGACCGGGCGUGAGAAGCAGAGUCAUAAGGGGAAGAAAGGGGAGAAAAGAAAACAUGAAAUAUUUUCUAACCCCCAGAACCUGGUCAGACCGGGCAUCACUGCCCGAUCGGGCGUGAGAGCCAAACUCGGAAAUUACGAAUGGAAAAAUUUUCUUCUUUAAACGCCCGGGCGCGAAGAGAAACUGCGAGGACAACACGUUUUAAUUCACAAAAAAAAAAAAUGCCCUCUUCACCAUUCUACUCUUUCAUUAUUCCUACACUCUCUCUCUAAAAACCACAAAAUCAAAAACCCUAACUCUCAUCCUCUCCUCUAAUUCCCACAAACUUCUCUCAAAUCCUUUCAAUUUCUUCAUCCUUCAUCACUUCGACCCCAUAUCCAACCUCCAUUACUAUUCCUCUCCAUCUAAACACUCAUCUCACCCGAAAUUUUUCUUUUUUAGAGAGAGAAAGCUUGAGAAAUAUUAAUGGCUGCAAGGAAGAGAAAUAGGAGCGCCCCUCAAGAACCACAACUAGAUUUGGAGAGCAUUCCAGGGUUCCCAAACAUCAAGUUCGUGGCCGAAUUUCCAAAUCAAAAGAAGCGGUUCCUAGAGCUACAACAUCGGGAGGUAAUUCCCACUCAUUUUAUACACCGUUCUCUUCUUGCUAAAUUAGGAAUAGAUUCCAAUUGUAGAACCUUGUUUUCUAAGCUUGGCAUGUCUCAAUUGUUUAACAUGAUCCAUUAUACAUGUGAAGAUAUCACUCUUGAAUUUUUGAGCUAUUUUGAUAUAGUAAAAGGUAGAGAUGGUUUGGUGACACACGUAGUUUAUAGAUUGUUGAAUAAAUCCCACUGUCUUACACUAGAUGGUUUUGGUAGGAAGUUUGGUCUUCCGUCCAUAGGAUUAACCAUGCAACCGAACAAUUUCAUUUUUGGGGAUUUGUGGUUUGCCAUGACAGGUGAAAACAUCGAGUCUAUGCAACAUGCUCUCGCUAACAAAAUCCAUUAACUAACCCGUCCUUAGACUUUUGACUCGCUUUUCUGGGUGGACUAUUUUUGGACGGAUAGAACCUAAUAAAGUUGGGGCAGACAAGUUGCAAUCUUGGGUAGUUAUCUAUGAUAUGGGGAUUCUGAUGAGGGUUUUCAGAUGAACAUUUCUCACCUACUUGCCCUUCAUCUUAGGAAAUAGGAUCUUACCUUCACCACUGUCAAACCUAAUGGAGGCCGUACCAACAUCCCUAUAGUCGUAGGCGGUUUGGUGACCCACUUGGCAGUUAAGGAGGGUUUUGAUGAAGCCCACCAUACACCAAUGCUGGAUCCUAUUACCUUGGACCAGCACUACUUCACUACCACCGGCUGGUUGUCAGUUGAAUUUGGUAAUUACAGUUGGCUCAUUGGAAAGAGCAAUAGGCGUUCCAUCUCCUUACCCUCUCCUGACCUUUUUAAGAUUCGCCCUCACCAACCUUCAUAUAUUUUAGAGGUUCCUAGCAGUUCACUUGCCCUAGUUGCCCCCACGAGGACUUACUAUAGGCGAGAGUCUGCUGGACCCUCCACAUCUUCCACUACACCACCUGUCUCAUUUGACAACGAGGCCAUCAUGGCCAGUAUACGGGAACUUCAGCUAGGCCAGCAAGGCUUAUGCUCCCGUAUCCAGACACUUAAGACCGAUUUUCGCUUAUCUAUGCAUCAUGUCUAUGGUUAUUUUUACAGGCAAGGUCAUAUUCCGAGUGAUGCUUCCCAUCCUUCGUGGCAUACCUUUCCCAAUGUGGGAGAUAUUACAGGUGGUAGCGGGGCAGCCGAUGAUGAUGAUGAUGGUGACGAUGAUGACGGUGAUGGUGAUGAUGAUGAUGAUGAAUUCGAGUGAGGAUUCAUAGGUGUUUUUCCCACCUUCCACACGUUGCAAUGAGGCCAUUGCCGAGUGUAGCUUGGGGGAGGCUUGUGUAUAUGUAUAUAUCUCUCGAGGUUUCUUGGAUGAAUUGGACCUGUUUUGGAUGGUUAUGGAAGAGGUUGUUGAGUGAGAUGAAGAUUUCCCCAAUGCCCUGGCUGCUAGGGCGAAGGAAGGAAGAGCUAACUAUGAAGAAUCAUCAUAGAUCCCACAUGCCCUGGCUGACAGGGCAGUGAGGAGUGUUAUUCUCAGAGCUUCAUUCAAGAAGUUGUUACACGCACCCGACCGGGCACCACAUGCCAUGACUGACCGGGCAUAAGAAGAAGAACACAGGAAGAAGGAAAUUACUUCGUCCGCCCAAUCGGGCAGGCUCCGCCCCGGCAGACCGGGCACUGUUGCGCGACGACCGUCUUUAACUAAUUACUGGAUUCUAUCUUUUUAAGGGUAUAAAUACCCCUUGUAAUCACAUUUAGAGAGUAGAUUAUUUAUUUUCUCUAGUAUUAUAACUACUUUAAAACCCUAGUUUUCUCUUCUUUCAGCAAUUAAGUUCUACUCUUAGUUUGGAUCAUUGUGCAUCAACAAUUCAAGUUCUUUCAAUUGAAGCAAUUGGUAUUUAUCUAUUCUCUUAA